UACGAAGGGGGCGAGCGUUGUUCGGAUUUACUGGGCGUAAAGGGCGCGCAGGCGGCCAUUCAAGUCAGGCGUGAAAGCCCCGGGCUUAACCUGGGAGGUGCGCUUGGGACUGGGUGGCUAGAGAUCGGGAGAGGAGAGUGGAAUUCCCAGUGUAGAGGUGAAAUUCGUAGAUAUUGGGAAGAACACCGGUGGCGAAGGCGGCAUCCUGGACCGGCAUUGACGCUGAGGCGCGAAAGCUAGGGGAGCAAACGGG
rnacentral:rRNA from 1 species